GGAGUGGCCGCUGCUCCCGCUGAUUCCAUGCCUUCUAUCGUGGUGCGGGAUUCUGUUACGGCUUGGUAAUUGUGGAGGAGGAAUGAGGCGCAGGAACCAGCGAACACAGGGUAGUGGUGUUUUUAAUAUACACUCACCAAAAAAAAAAAAAAUGUUCCCACACACAGGGGAGAAAAUACAUGCGGCGUACAACAACGUCGACAUGAACACAAGCCGUCACACAAGAAACAAUCAUUAAUCCCGCACGAACAGGGGCCAGCUAAACUAAAUAGCCCCUCUAAUGGCUAAUUGACCACAGGUGUCACAAAAUAAAAAAAGGGAAAAGCAAAAGGGAAUCGGUGGCAGCUAAUAGGCCGGUGACGACGACCGCCGAGCGCCACCCGAGCAGGAGGGGGCGCCACCGUCGGUGGGAAUCGUGACAGAUUUACACCACAAACACAGCCAUUUUCACUGGACUAUCUGUUGCUGCCAAGUCAUGAUUUCCCUGGGGGUUAGCCUUGCAAUAACCAAGUGGUGAGACACAUAGCCCUCGAUAUUUAAAUGUUUCAGGUACACUCCGAUAGGUGUCUGUGUCACAUACAGUAUCUUCUAUUGACAUUAUCUUCUAAUGUUUGUCCUCAUGUGUCUGUUUUUCAGCAUAAAGUACUCUGAAGCCGCUUAGUGUGGACACCAGGUGAGACCAAUAGAAUACAAUAGAAGACUUGCAAUUUAUUGCAAGUCUUCUUCACUUCAUCCCUAAAUCCUCAAGGUUAUAUCAACUGUUUUGGUGAAUCCCUCCCACAUUUGAACUGGCUGACUCAGAGGGCACAGCAUGAUCAUAGGUGAGAUGUCACUUGGUCAGGUCAACAGGAAGUAUUAUUAAAGAGAUGCUUUACAUUGAAAUACAGACAGAUGUAGUAGUCAUAGAGUUAAUGAUCCAAGGCAUGUUUUGAUGUGAGAGAGGAAGCCGCUGUUCUUACCUCUUUCCCUACACCUGUCUCCCCACCUCGUCUUUCUUUCUCAUUUUAUAAUGCACACCAUAUGUGCAUUGAAGUACAGAUUGAACUUGUAUUUAUAAUAUAGUAUUCCAAUUAUAAUGCAUUUGUAACACCUGGAUAAUGAACUUCUUUCAAUAAAGUGUUUCACAUUCUC
rnacentral:lncRNA from 1 species